rnacentral:rRNA from 1 species
AGGACGAACGCUGGCGGCGUGCCUAACACAUGCAAGUCGUACGGGCUUGGGGGGCAACUCUCAAGUCAGUGGCGAACGGGUGCGUAACACGUGAGCAACUUGCCCUAUGGUGGGGGAUAGCCGGCCCAACGGCCCGGGUAAUACCGCAUAUGGCGCUGAGGUCACAUGGCCUUAGUGGGAAAGCGGCCGCAAGGUCGCGCCAAAGGUGGGGCUCGCGGCGUAUCAGCUAGUUGGCGGGUAACGGCCCACCAAGGCUACGACGCGUAGCUGGUCUGAGAGGAUGGCCAGCC